UACAGAGGGUGCAAGCGGUAAUCGGAAUUACUGGGCGUAAAGCGCACGCAGGCGGUCAUGUAAGUCGGGGGUGAAAUCCCCGGGCUCAACCUGGGAACUGCAUUCGAGACUGCAUGGCUAGAGUACGGUAGAGGAGGGCGGAAUUCCCGGUGUAGCGGUGAAAUGCGUAGAUAUCGGGGGGAACAUCAGUGGCGAAGGCGGCCCUCUGGACCAGUACUGACGCUCAGGUGCGAAAGCGUGGGGAGCAAACAGG
rnacentral:rRNA from 1 species